CAAGAUGCUGUCAAAAUUAAAUCAAUAUGGCUACCGGAAGGCAAACAUUGAAUAUUAUUCUAUCAGGUUCUUAUGGUUUUAGAUCAUUUUAGUUGUUGUACAAAGAUUAAUUUAACAUUUUCUCUGGAAGUAUUAAUUUAGAAAGAUAAUAUGCCUCAUUGGUGUUGUGUUUUGAAGUGUGAAAUGCAAAGUAAUCGUGAUAAAGUUAGCUUUUACCACUUACCAUCAGUGCUACAUUCUAAGCACAAAACUGAACCAAUUUAACUAAAUAAGUUAUAGUUAUCAUCUGAGAGACAACAACAAUGGUAAAAUGCAAUAAAAUAUUAAGAUUUUACUAGCAAAAUGGAAAUUCCCCUGUAAUCAUCUUAUAUCUGGAAAACCAGCCGACUUAACUGAUAAUAACAAUCCAGAUUGGGUUCCUUCAAUAAAUAUGGGGUAUAUAAACACAAUGAAAUGAGUUCCCCAAAAUCUAAAAUGGGAAUUAAGGUACCAAAGGAGAAUUAAAAGAAAAGGGUACCUACAAGAAAAAAUUGCUUUUUUAUUCCUCUUGAAAUGAUUUAUAAGACACUGGACUGUCUUAUAUUCUACAAAUACUAGAAUCAGCUGAGAGAAGUGGUCUACAAAAACCCAGGAAGGAAACAGAAUAUGUGGCUACGAAAGGCAAAAGAAAGGUUUACAAAGCAAAUGUGACACAUUUUUUUGAAAUAUUUAGGAAUAUCAGUAAAUUGCAUUAAAAAAAUGUAUGAAAAGAUUUUGUUCAAUAAAAAUGUUUAUAUU